rnacentral:tRNA from 1 species
GGCCCUAUCGUCUAAUGGCUAGGACAUCACCCUCUCACGGUGGUAAUCGGGGUUCGACUCCCCGUAGGGUCACAA